AUACGUAGGGGACGAGCGUUGUCCGGAAUUACUGGGCGUAAAGGGCGCGCAGGCGGAUAUUUAAGUCAGCUGUAAAAGGCAUGAGCUCAACUCAUGUAUGCGGUUGAAACUGGGUAUCUAGAAUGCUGGAGAGGUAGGCGGAAUUCCCGGUGUAGCGGUGAAAUGCGUAGAUAUCGGGAAGAACACCAGUGGCGAAGGCGGCUUACUGGCCAGCAACUGACGCUGAGGCGCGAAAGCCAGGGGAGCGAACGGGAUUAGAUACCCCGGUAGUCCGGGCCGUAAACGAUGAGUGCUAGGUGUGGGUGUCGAGAGGCAUCCGUGCCGGAGUUAACGCGAUAAGCAUUCCGCCUGGGGAGUACGAUCGCAAGAUUGAAACUCAAAGGAAGUGACGGGG
rnacentral:rRNA from 1 species